CACAGUUUAUGAUUCCAGUAUUGUCAGAUUUUAUUGCUGAUUUUAAAUAUGUUCUUUGGUCGUAAUCUUGACCAACGGUUAUUGUGAUUUUGGUCUUUCCCCAUUCAAGUAGAUAGGAGCUGCAGUGUCAUAACUGGAAUUAUCCUCCCGAGAUUGAUUUGACAGUGGACUGACUUGCUAGAGACACUUUGAGGGAACCCAUGGCGAAUUAGUCUUCUUGGGUUGUCUACAAACUGACAUCAUGGAUGAGCACAACAGUCUGGUUCCAUUCAUUUUUUCCAUAGACGAAUUGAGUUUUAAUGAUAACUUAUAUAUCUUUAAAGACAGACCUGCUUAAAGCUUUGAGGUUGUUCAUCAAUGAUACAGUAUAUGCCUCUUUUGAAGCAAUCGGUUCACUUUAUUUGAACGCCGUUGUUUAAAAAUUGUGUUUAAUAGCGGAAUUCCUGGUUAAGAACUACACUACCCAUGCUCCAGCAGAGAAAGAUCCACCAAUCAGAGAACCGUGGCCAACAAAGCCUGCUAAAGGAGUCCAGCAGCGACCACCCACUCCCAGUCGCUGUGCCAAACCCUGACGGAGGGCCGCUCUCCUGAGGGAUGCUGGGAGUUUUCAGCGCAACCUGAGAGGGUGACAAGGCAACCACACGCUGGAGCCACACCGGGAAUGUCAUCGGCGGGAACCCGGAGUUUGACAAACAGCUUCCCUGUUUUCCAGAGCUCAACCUGUUUAAGAGCUGAGAGCAACACACGAGCUCCGGGCGUCUGAAUAGAGACUUCAGUUUGACUCCAUCACAAGCGUCUACCACACACACACUGCAACACGUCACCUUUCCCUCGACUCGGACCUGCGACGGGCUCACGGGAAACUUCAGAUCUAAAUCACACAGGUGUUUUUGGAGGCAUAAAACUGACAUUCCAAAGAGUGCCAUUGGAAGUGAAGCCACCAUGCCAGCAAUCCUACAACAUUGACAUCAUGCAAAUAAAAAACACAGCCCGUAUACUCCACCCAAGAACAGUUCUAAUGGAGUUCAGUUCAUCUUCUCCCCUCCUGAAUCACUGAGUCCAUCAAAGAAUUUGUGUUCAUUUAACCUGCAUCCUGAGAGGGGCCUGCAACACUUUGGAUGAAAGCCAUGGAGAAGACUUCGAUCCACUAGUGUUUGUGCUCAUAUAAUAAUCGUAAGACAUCACUUCUUAAGACAUCAAAAUAUAUCACCUGAAUAUAAUCAAGAUCACAGACAGAUAAAACAUUGGCAUGCAACUGUAUCGCCAUCCGACUAUAACUGUAAAAAUAUCCAGGACAAUGAGCGACAUCUUCACUCAGCACGAUCUCAGUAGACAAAUGCUUCCAAUUUUACUGAACAAUAAACAUCCAUGAAGCUCUCAGGUGGAAAAUGACCAUCAACCAUCAGUGAGAGCAGGUCUACACACACAAAUACAUGCACGCACACAGGGUGACAGCAUUAUGUCGUUCCCACCGGAGGACCACACAAGCAGAGUGCUGACUUCAGGAAAGAAUGCUGGAGCCUUUCAUCUGGACGGAGGAAUGAAAGAUGGAGGGAUGGCGCGUGUGUGUGUGUGUGUGUGUGUGAUGGAGGACAGACACUCGCUCAUUCAGACGGGAGGAUGUGGGGGGAGCAAGACCUGCCAGAACCCACAGACUGCAUUUGAGAAGACACAAGGAAGUGAAGGUAAAGACAGAGGGAUAACUUGGGAAGUGCACACAUAUUUCUUCAGAAUCGUCUCAAAAUCAAAGUGUAGUGGAAGACCAUGCAGGCCAACGCAUUCAGAAACAUCCUGUCUGUCUGUAUACUCAAAGUUUCAUAGAGAAUAACAGCACUCAAAGAAACCAAAUCGUGCUUUAUUCAAGUUAACCCUUUAAGCUCUGAAGGUGUUUUUAAAGAUUUCCUUUUUCAGUGGCAUACCUAAAAUGAAGGCUUAUAACUAAAAAAAUAAAAACAACAACAACAAAAAACAAGGAGGGUCAAGUGUUUGGUAUCAUUGUAAAGGAAACUUUUCAGACAUUUUAUUGAUAUACAUUUUGAUACAUUCUGAGACUCUCAGUCUAGGAAACUGCUGAAAAAUCACAAAAAACGGAGCCAAAAAUGUACUUUUUUUAUUUUUCUGAUUUAACAUUAUAUAUCUCUGGGUGUAAAUAAGAUGGCUCUGAAAAACUGCUUUUGUUUUGUUCCCAAUCAUGUCAAAUGUAUCUGAGAAAGAAAUUGUGUU